rnacentral:lncRNA from 1 species
GAUUUUAUGCUACUACUGCUUCUUGCAGCAUGACGAAGCUUGUUUUUAUUACCAGUACGGCUUGAUCUAGCCCUUUUGAUGUUCGAAAACGCAGGUUUAGCACCUAAGUUUCCGGAGAAGAAGGGCUUGUGGCAUUGCAGUAGGGUUUUUGAUGAGGACAAGUUGUGAAUUUGAGGCUUUAACAUUGUACGUUUAUAUCAACUGGAAGUUUGUUGCUAAUUGUGGUUUUGAUGAAUUAGUGAAGCGCGCUUGAUCUUAUUUAUAGGCAGAAAGUUCGAAGAGGUUUUUUGUUUUGAGCAAAGAAUAUUCAAAGAUGCAUGCAUGCAUGUGAGUACUAUGAUAAGACAAUAAUUUUUAUUGACUUUUGUCUUUUGAAGUACUAUUCAAAAAAGAACAGUAGUAUUUUUUUUUUUGAAAAUAGAACAGUAGUAUUUUUUAAUUUCUAUUUGCGAGAAAGAAAGGUAGUGUAUAUAUAUGUGAUUCUAAAUUUAAUUUAAUUUAAAUUAAUGAUGACCGUACACGUUGUAAAUUUCAGUUGAUCACGGCCUAGGGUUAAAACAUAACGGAGAUAGUCUAUUUAAAAUACAUUAAUCGAAAUAGGCGUCUUAUUUUUAAACAAACACAUUUUUAAUAUAAAUGAUAUAUAAUUUAUAUUAUAUUAUUAAUGUUGAAACAUGAAAAAUUUAAGCAAACAUAAAAACGCUCAUUCAUUAGAAAUGAUAUAAACUUGAAUACUGUAAAAGGCGAAAUAUUACCACUUUGAUUGUUUAUAUUUUUAUUAUUAGUAUUUAUGUUAACAAUAAUUAUUUAUUAAUCCAUUGAACUAUAUCAUAUAAUUAUGAUUAAACAUAUUUAUAUAAAUUUUGGACAUAUACCAUAUUAUAGUUAUAUAUAUAAUGUUGAAUAUUAAUUCACAUGUUCCAAAAUUUAUUUAUUACUCCCUCCGUCCCCUUUUACUUGUCCCUUUUGAAAAAAUAACGCAUCUUAAGAAAAUGUUAGGUGGAUAUCUUGUUUUCAUACAUAUCCCUAAUAAAUGUGAUGAAUUAGAUAGAGUUGUGUAUAUAUAUAUAUAUGCUAGUCAAACAUUGGAAUUUGUUACAUUUUGAAAAAACAUACAAAAAGUUGCUUCGAAAAGAGAAGUGGACAAGUAAUUUGAGACAAAAAAAAAUUUCAAAAGGGACAUGUAAAAAGGGACGGAGGGAGUAAUAUAUAGAUAAUGAUAUAUCAAUAAGAACCCGCACCAAAAUGCAAGUUAGUAUAAUCAACAAGCAAGCACCAGAAGCGCAGAGAAAACAAAAUGGUGGAAACUGGAGUGAAGGACCACUGGUAGGUAAAGUAUAUAGAGCUCACGGCAGAGCAGGCCGUGAAACACAUUUGAUAAGUAGUACUAAAAUUGGACGGGCAUAACACGUGUUCGGUGGAUGAUUUCAUCGUCGUACGUAGACGAGACCAACGUAAUCAAAGUAGUACUUCGACAAAUAUAAUCGUUGAUAGCAGGUUGUUUAAAAUUAUAGACAGAUGAUGAGUAUGAUUGAAGUGUGGUUUUUUCAAAAAAUUAAUUACACUUUUUAUUUUUAAUAUACUAAUUCAUUUUUUAACUAAAUAUUUUUUACUCUAUGAUCGUAGAUGCUUUAAGUUUCUAAUUCAUUCUCUAAAUUAAGUUAAGAACAAUUAUAUAGGAAAAUCUUCUGGGACUUGCCCCGUAAGUUCUAACAACAAACAAGGAACUCUAAACAUAUGCAUAUCAAUGGACCCGCAAAAUGAAGGAGACUGACCUGUUAAACCAGUUGAAGACCAAGUUGAAUUGUAAAAACUGGUGAGUUUUCUCAAUUUUGAGGCGCGUUUUCUUUUUCUUUUUGAGAAAAUAUAGCAGAAAUUUGAUUUUGAUAUUAAUUCUGAAUUAACGAGACUUGAACACAAAUACAAGAUAUUCUUUUAAAGUAUUCUGAAAUCAUAUUCAAAUAUAAAUGCCCUAUUGACAACUAACUCUUAGCAAAUUGGAUUAAUCGUUUUUACUCCCUCCGUCCCACUGAGUAGUAUACAUUGGGGGACGGGGACACGACACGGAUUUUAAUGCUCCUGUAAAGUGUAGUUGUAUAAUUUAUUUUUAAAAUUUUCUUUUUCGGAAUUAAAGUUUGUAUGUUAUAUUUUUAUACAGAAAAAGAAAAUCUCAAAAAUAAAUUACGGAACUAUAUUUUAUAAGAGUAUUGAAAUGCGUGUCGAGCAGUUAAAAAGAAACGUAUACAAUUAAAUGGGACAGAGGGAGUACUAUUUACAAUUAAAUGGGACAGAGGGAGUACUAUUUAGCUGAAGUAACUAUUUUGACUAAUGUAUUCAUAUUGAAUUAGCUGUUAAUUUGGUAAAAAAACUAUUUAAUUAAUUUUUCGUAUUUUAUUUAAACAUAUAUAAUUUUUUCAGAUUUAGUUUUUUUUAAUCCAAACCACUGUCUUAAUCCACUAAUUACCAAUCAAUAUUAAAUGAUUUAUAUAAUCAAAUCUUAAUUAUAUCGGAAAAGAAAAUGAAAAAUCUGUUAAUAACAUAUUUCACCCUGUUUGCAUUAUUCGGGACCUAACAAGAAGCAGUGGACAUAUUUUAGGAAGGAACAAAGGCUCUUUCGAAUCAAAUCCUUUAUUAUGUACUACAACGUGGAGGGAUGCACAUUUUCCUACAAGAUGUAGGAGUUGAAUUGCAGAUUUGUAUUAUCAUGAAAAUGCAGAUCCUAUUAUAGUUUAGUGCUCGUUUGGUUGCCUCUCCAAUACUCAGGAAUUUCAAUUUCCUAAGAAGUAACUAUAGAUGAAGUUGUUUGGUUGAUAAAAGUAAAGGAAGAGCAACUUCCAUGGAAGUAUGAAUUUGUAGGAAGUUAUUAACCCACCACACCCUUGGUCAUUGGAAGUUCCCAUGAUUUUAAAUUCCACUGUAACAACCAAAUAAUUUUUUUCACUUCCUAUAUAUUUUAAUUACCAGGAAAUUACUACUUCCCAUAGGAAGUUAAUUCCCGGAUGCAACCAAACAAGCACUUAUUUUGGAGCACGUUUAGGCGAGCUUAUGAUUUAGUACUUAAUGUGAAUUAUGACUUAAUGUGACUUAUUUAAAAAAUUGGGAGUUUAAAAUACCAGUUUGGAUAAUUUUUGAAUUAUUGAUGAUUUAGGGGUUAUUAAAAAUAUAAUAAUAAUAAUAAAAGUGUAUGGAUAAUUUAUUACUUAUUGGAAAUUUUAUCGUAAAAAAAAUUCGAAAAAAUUAAGUCAUUGAAAAAGUAUUUCAAACUAAUUUCUGGUUUUAAAUCUGAUUCUGACUUAUUUCCGGCUUUAAGCAGACUCCUGACUUAUUAUACAAACAGACAUAUUUCAGCUUAAAAUUGUAACUCACUUAAAGCCUGGACUUUAAGCCGAGGCAAACAGGCUCGUACUCGGAGGAGGGAGGAGAGCACAAUCAUUGGUUUUAGAAUUUAUUUCUUUCUGCAAGGAGAUGUAAAAUAGGUUUGUUAUAUCUGUAAAAUUUACAAGCUAAUUUAUGCUUUUACCGAAAACUACUCUAUCUAAUGGAAGCAAAGAGAAAGAGAGAUCUUACCCCAGUACUUCAAGAGAUUUAAUACUGAUAGAUUUAGUUUCUCUCCUCUUUCUCUUUCUAGAAUGGGAGAGCAGUCCUUGUGUAUAUAUAUCUGUCUCUCUGUUAUGUGUUUGGAUGGUUCUUUUUAUAUCUUCUUUUUGCUGAGUCAUUCCUUUUUUCCUUCUUUUAUUGCCACUUCAACAGCUCUAGUGUAAUAGAGUAGGUGAUUAAUCAGUUUUGUGUCACAAGCAUACAGGUGAGUCAAAAGGGGUAGGGAUAGGUGUUCUUACGGAUGUGAGACACAUGUGUCUCUGUUGGAGGCUAAGCAGGCAUGGUAGGGAUCGCAGGGUAGGCUAUAUUCCAAGGGGAGAUGGCCUCAGACCCUACGGUCUUAGGUGUCUUACGGUCCUGAUGUCUUGGGGCCUGUUUGGGACGGCGCUUGGAUGAGACCUAUGGUCUCUCAGUAUUGGCUGAUUCUCGGUCCAUCAUAUGUCCCCCCGUAGUAAAGGAGCCUUCUGAGGCUUACAUUAGGUCUAGUGAAAAGUGUACAGGCGUUUUUCUGUGGGGGUUUUCUUGCAUUUUAUUUGGUCCAUUCACUUUCGUUUUAACAGAUAUUCUCGUCUAAUUAGUGUUUAAGAACGUUUUAAGAGGUAAUCUUUCCUUUUAUUAUAAUUUUUUGUGGAAUUUCAUGUCGGUUGGACUGUUUUGUUUAAGUAAGAUGUGAACAUGGAUGUUGUAAUGGAUGAUAUUAGGGUUGUAUGAAAUUUAACUGUUUUCUUAUUGUGUUUCUUAAUUUGUGGGUAUUGGUAUUCAUAUGGUUAGCCUUGGUUUGGGAGAGCAAAAAAGCUUCAAUUUUAAGUGUCAUUGUGGCGAGAUUUGAUGUUUAUGUUUUUGAUUUGACGUUUGUUGUUGCAGAAAGUUAGCCAGAAAGUAUAGCACGAGAAUAACUUUUCAAAGGAUUGUAGAUGUGUAAUAAAUUUUAUCUAAAUAGUCCUGUUUUUUUUCUAGACAAUGAAGAAGUGUAACAUUUCUUGUAUUAGGUACAGGCAUAUUGGUAUUGGUGAACAGUGGUAGCCUUUGUGCUGAGUAACGAAGUUGGUUGUGGGGCUGCGUUUGUCUCGCGCCUCCCUGGUUCAUGCUAGUAGCAUCGAUAAUGUUGCUUGUCCAGAUGUAUGGGGAUUUGAGAGCUUUCUAGGACUCCUAAUAGAAGACUCCUAGGGUCGGAAGCUGAUGGAUCAUGUAUAUUUAGGGAAAUAUGGAGUAGAACGUUGUAAAACUAUUGGAAUUUUGUGCGUGAGUUGUAGGUUUUUUUAAAAACUUUGUGAAUUGCGAAGGGUGGGCGAGGUUGCCUCAUGUAUGUGUCUUUUUCAUGUUUUUAUGAAUUCGAUGGAAGGCAGGUUAAUAAGCAUGUGUUCUUAUUCUGGUGAACUUUAUGAUUUUGUAAAAAUUGUGAAUGUGGUUCUAUGACUUGUUUAUGGGCGCUUUGAUGUUUUCAUGUGAGUAGGUGUGCCGCGAACGAAGGAGAAGUAAGCUUUUAGGUUACUAUGGAAGUUAGGGCAACAUGUAGUGAGAGGUACAUGGUUUGUUACGGGGCCGUAUAUACUGUAGGGUUGUAUAUGUCGGCUUUUUGGCAGAGACGUGGGGCUGUAGCGUUGUACGGCUACCUAUGUUGGCCUUUUGGCAAUGGAGUCAUAGCAAGGGUGUGGCUAUGUAUGCUGGCUUUUUGCUGUUGGACUAUAGCGAUUGUAGGGAUAUGUAUGAUGGCCAUGUGGCAGAGGUGCCAUAGCGAACGAAUGGGCCAUUCAUGCAUAAGGUGGCUUUUCGUCGUAGGGAUGUAGCUAUCACAGGGCUACUUAUGUUGGCCAUUUGGCGUGGCUGUUUGGUGAAACCCAUGAGGUUGUGUGGGUUGUAGUGAACCUUAGGGCCGUAGAAAAAAUGGGCUACGUAUGUUGGCCAUUUGGUCAAACUCGUAGGAUUGUGUGGGUCGCAGUGGACCUUAUGGCUAUAGCGAAAAUGGAGUGGCAUAUAUGGCCGAGUCGCUCAAUGCGACAGAAAACGUAGAUUAAGUGAUGGAUAUUUUACAAGUAGAGGUGUUAGGUAUAUAGAAAGUUGCUAAUCACCUAAUACAUACUUCGGGGGCAUGGAGGUGCCUUCAUUGAUAGAAGCGGCCAAGGUUGGAGAUAUGUCAAGUGUCGGGGACGGGGUCUGUUCGAAAUUUUUGUGUGUUCCUUCCAUGUGAUGGGUAUGAUAUUAUGUUUUUGGAUCGUAAAUGCACAAUGGUGUUCCCUUUGUUGUUAUUUAGGCAGCCUAUCAUCGUGAUUCAGGCUGUUUGGUAUGGAUUUUAUGUUUUUCAUGCUCAUAAAUUUUUUAUUUUACAUGCUUGUGUGAAGCAUGAUGGGGUGCCUACCGCAGGGGGAUGGUCUUUAGGCCAUCCUGUGAGGAGCCCGUUUAUGUGAGACUAAAGAUUUCUUGGCUGUCGGAGUAGUUAAGAGACUUUGUGAUAGUGGUAUUAGUUGCGGCGAUAUAUCGUAGCGUUCGUUGCGCUAUUUGUAAGGGUCAGUAGGCAUAACGAGCGAAUGUGUGAUGUAUGUAGGCUCUUUGUUGUUGGGCCGUAGCGAUUGUAGGGCUACGUAUGAUGGCCUUGUGGCAGGGGAGCCAUAGCGAAUGAGUGGGCCAUGUAUGUAGUCUGUCUGCUGUUGGGCUGUAGCGAUUGUAGGGCUACGCGUGAUGGCCUUGUGGCAGAGUAGCCAUAGCAAGCGAAUGUGCGAUGUAUGUAGGCUCUCUGCUGUUGGGCCGUAGCGAUUGUAGGGCUACGUAUGAUGGCCUUGUGGUAGAGUAGCCAUAGCGAGCAUGUAGAGUUGUAGCUAUUGUAGGACCGUAGCUGUUGUAGGGCUACAUACGUAGGCCUUUUGGCGAAUGAGCCUUAUGUGUAAGGGGGCUCCUCGCUGUUGGGCCGUAGCUAUUGUAGGGCUACUUAUGUUGGCCUCUUGGCGAAUGAGCCUUAUGUGUAAGGGGGCUCCCCGCUGUUGGGCCAUAGCUAUUGUAGGGCUACUUAUGUUGGCCUCACGCAUAAGGUGGCUCUUAGAUGUAGAGUUGUAGCUAUUGUAGGGCCGUAGCUAUUGUAGUGCUACUUAUGUUGGCCAUUUGGCGAAUAAGCCCUGAGUUGUAAGGGGGCUCUUCGCAGUUGGGCCGUAGCUAUUGUCGGGCUACUUAUGUUGGCCAUUUGGCGAAUAUGCCCUGAGUUGUAAGGGGGCUCUUCGCAGUUGGGCCGUAGCUAUUGUGGGGCUACUUAUGUUGGCCAUUUGGCAAAUAAGCCCUGAGUUGUAAGGGGGCUCUUCGCAGUUGGGCCGUAGCUAUUGUGGGGCUACUUAUGUUGGCCAUUUGGCAAAUAAGCCCUGAGUUGUAAGGGGGCUCUUCGCAGUUGGGCCGUAGCUAUUGUGGGGCUACUUAUGUUGGCCAUAGCCCUGAGUUGUAAGAGGGCUCUUCGCAGUUGGGCCGUAGCUAUUGUAGAGCUACUUAUGUUGGCCAUUGGGCGAAUAAGCCCUGAGUUGUAAGGGGGCUCUUCGCAGUUAGGCCGUAGCUAUUGUAGGGCUACGUAUGAUGUCCUUGUUUUAUUCUGUGUUAGAUAACGCUUAAGGAAAAGGGGAGAUAUAUGAGGUGGUAGAAAAAAUUUACAUACAGAUGUGUUAUUUGUAUACUAACUGAAAGUCGCUGUAUACCUGUAUGCAAUCAACCUUGAGAUCGUGAGCUAGGCGGAGGACGGCUAGAAGGGUUUCGUAUUCAGAGCAAUUGUUAGCGGUGGGGAAGUCGAAUCUAUUGGAUUGCUGAAUUUGAAAGCACUCUUCAGUGGUCGGAGGACCUGGACCUUGCUCUUCGUCCAUGUCGGGGACUGUUGUUGCCAAAUGGGCAAUGGUGGGAGUUUGCUGAGACUCGAGACCUAGAGGAAGAACGGUUUGGCCUAUGAAGGUCGUUAUCUGGGCAGCCAAAUUAUCCACCUACUCUUGUAGAUGUCGUUGUUGAGCUUUAUAUUGGUCGAAGCGAUCGAAAUUCGGGGAGUGAGAUGGUGAGGGAGUGAUGCUAUACGGGUGGCCGUGAGAAGACUGAGAUGGUGAAGGUGCUAUACGGGAAUGAUGCUAUACAGGUGAUUGAUUUUUCGCUCACCUUUCGUCGUUUAGGGUUUUCUUCCUGGUCGUAGUGGUAUGGCGGUGAAAAUCACGGGUUUCUCUUUCUUUCCGAUCCCCGGCGGCGGCGCCAAUUGAUAGAUUUAGUUUCUCUCCUCUUUCUCUUUCUAGAAUGGGAGAGCAGUCCUUGUGUAUAUGUAUCCGUCUCUCUGUUAUGUGUUUGGAUGGUUCUUUUUAUAUCUUCUUUUUGCUGAGUCACUCCUUUUUUCCUUCUUUUACUGCCACUUCAACAGCUCUAGUGUAAUAGAGUAGGUGAUUAAUCAGUUUUGUGUCACAAGCAUACAGGUGAGUCAAAAGGGGUAGGGACAGGUGUUCUUACGGAUGUGAGAAACGUGUGUCUCUGUUGGAGGCUAAGCAGGCAUGGUAGGGAUCACAGGGUAGGCUGGGUUCUAAAGGGAGAUGGCCUCAGACCCUACGGUCUUAGGUGUCUUACGGUCCUGAUGUCUUGGGGCCUGUUUGGGACGACGCUUGGAUGAGACCUACGGUCUCUCGAUAUUGGCUGAUUCUCGGUCCAUCAAAUACCAAAUCUAUUUUUUUAAAUGCCCGGUUUACGAUCUUGUACGUGAUCGUGAUCGUUUGAUAAGAAAUGAAAAAGGGAUAAUAUGCCGCGUGUUAAGUAAAAAGAGGAUUAAUAGAAUCUUAUUGAUUAUGUAAGAAUGUUACAGUAAGAUUUCUUCUUCUUACUCCACACGGGAGGUAAUAUUUUUGGUACCAAAGUAGGAUCCCUUUCUUGAGGUCACCAUCUUGCUAUUUAUAGGCUUUCUACGACCAGUAAUGCAUGUGCCAAUCAUGUGCUUUAUAAGAUUAUAGUUAUGGACUUCUUUGACAUUGGGUUUCUGGCUAUGGGCCAACACCGCGGAAAUAAGGUCACUACAUAUGUGUAUAUCACAAUCCAGACGAAGACAAUCCAUUUUUAACUCCAGAUUAAUAUAUGUUCUUCUCUAUUUCAAAACGUUCGGGGGUCGCUUGGAGGGCUAUCUUGAAUUAGGUAUGGGUUUCGUUCAUUCCAAACCCCAUAAAGAAACAAAUUUUCAAACCCACAGUAUGGAUUUUGAUACCCAAAAGAUGAGGUGGGUAUGAAAUGGGGUAUGAGUAUCAGUUUUAUAUUAUCAGUUUUAUAUUUUAUUUUUGUCUAUAUUUAAGCAAUUAAAUAUUAAUAUUUAAUAUUUAAUAUAAAAAUAAUCAAUAAAGCAAAAAUAUAUAACAAUAAUAAUUUUUAUUAAUAUUUUAAUUAAUAUAAAUAACUAAUAUAAUUAUUUUUAAAAAAUUAGAUAUAUUGAUUUCAGCGAUCGACCAGACACAUGAUAUAUGAUACCUUAAACCCAUACCACCUUAAUCCGAUUACAGUUCCAAACUAAUAUCACUUGGCAAACGACCCCCCGAAGGACUUGCAAAAUUCAAGCAACCUCAAUGGAAAAUUACAAGACUUACUCAAUCACACAACUUCAACUCCAUGCUCGAAGUUUUAGAUAGAAAUACUAUUAGGAACUCCUUUUGCUGUAACUCCAGGUUCUGAAUAAGGUUUCAAAAGCUCAUAUGGCACUACACCAGCUCCAGUUCUGUUCCUCAACUUUUUAUCAUUAUUUCGGGCAUCAACAAUUCCUUCAAGCUCCUUCAACUUUCCAGCAAACACUUCAAAUGCUGAUUUGAUGGCAGGGUCCUCUGCCCAUGAAGGCUCUGGCGCUUCACCAAUGUACUCCUCGUCAAUUGAAUGAUUUGACAGAACAUCCAGAAUGGCCAUAAUUUUGGAAGCUUGAAGUUGUGUUGGAAAGCAUGACAAAAGUGCAUCUUCAGGCCUUCUUUCAAAUGUUUUCCAUUCUUCAUCAGUUGGAUCUUCGGAUGGCAUUUUGACUCUAGCUAUUGUUGGUCUAUUAGGCAUAUAAGCUGCAAAGUCAUACUGUCCAAAGUUGACAGCUGCAUGGUGACCAGAUGUUACCCAUAUAAUGGUUGUGAUGAUUUGUACUAAAUCUUUUGGGGUUUUGAGAUUCGGCCACCAGGGUUCAUCUUUUUUGUCACCAUGUCCAACUGUUCGGAUUUCUUCCCACCAUGCUUGGAGUUCUUCAUCAGAUUCAAUCUGGCCUGGUUUAGGAUAGUAAUGGUUUACAUAAUCUGUAACCCAUUGUUUAAUGGUGUCCCAUAGGAUUAGACCAUCAUUUGCAUAGGGGUAAUCUUCUAUUGUCAACUUUAGACCAUGUGGAGCUCUUGGAUCUUUCUCUGCCAUUCCCCUGCAAAAGUUUAAUAAAAUUUUGAUUGUGUUAGGUUCUUAACACUAAAAAGAGGUGGCGAUUAAAAUUUAGGCUGGCGUGAGGUUGCAGAUUGAAAUAUAGGCUGUUCUGUGGCCACAUAUGUUUAACAUACCUUCACUUGCUCAUUACAUUCCUCUAAUUAAACUCCAAACCCAUUCCUUCCAAUUUAAUUGAAAGGUCAUUCUUUCACAAACUUUCACAUCAUUUUUAUUUACACACUAUCUUUUUUGUCAUUACUGCAAGUCUUAUAUUUAUCUCUUCUAUGUUCAAUUACCGUGUUCAUAGUUUUCAGGACAUUCAUAUCCCUGAUCCAUUCCAACUAAGCAAGCUUAAAAAAAUACAAAAAAGUUUUUUAAACUUUCUUUGUUUGAGCUCGACACUAUCACAAAUGCAAUUCACCAGAAUAAGUGCACCCCAAGUUCCUUCUUGAUUGUGAAAUAGUAAAGCUCAACAGCAAAAUGCACAGAGUUUAGUUUUUAAGGUCUUUAGGCCAGUAAAGCACAGUUAAGAGUCUGUUUAAGCGUCAGUGGAAAAUGAUUUGGUAUAUAAUGACUGGUUAGUAGAGUUACUUCCUUGGUAAGCAAAUCAGGUUGUUAGUAAGUAAUUACCUGCUAAUGAGGUCUUCUGGCAGUGCCUGGUGAUCAAAACGCCAAAGCUUGUCGUACGCAACAGAGCUAAAUUCGAUAGAGUACUUUCUAGGUGCAAAGGAUGACUCAAUAAUUCCAUCCGCGUUAAUGAGAGCUUGUCGCGCCAAGGCGUUGAUUUCCAUUGUGUAUCGGAAAUAAGGAUGUAAUAGUCUGUAAAUUGGGUGCGCCUCACUGAGUUGUCUGUUGGUUGCAAUUAUAUAAGGCUCUGUUGCACAAUGAGUUCUUAGCCUGCAAAAUAAAAACGACACACAUUAAGCCCUGAUAUCACUGUUUACACCUUAUACACACUGAACAUUAAACUAGUACUAGUAGUUUAUAAAUUUUAAAUUGAGCAGAACAACCAUUAUUUUCUAAGAUAACGGCACAUGAGGUUUCUUACAAAAGACUUCUCGUUCUUGUCAUGUAUCAUAUGAGGAUAAUAUAUUUGCAAGAUUGUGAAAUCGUGUCUUUAUUGGCCAGCUUAACAUUUAGUUUCGAUAAUUUCAGCAAAACAUGACUUAAUGUCUCUUAAACUGAUAAAUAAAUUUUCAGACUAUGUGCAAUGUGUUAAAUUAAGCAGAGAUUUAAGUGAAAAUGUACCAAUGACUAAUAAGCUGGUGAAAACCAGAGUCAUGCGCCAGGAAAUGAGCUUUAGCGAGCUUCCAAAGCCAACCACUUGUAGCAUCAAUCCCGGGAGCAUAGGCUUCCUUCCACUGGGGUUUCCCAUCCAUUGGAGGUCGGACAAGCUCAAUGGCUACUGGCUUCAAAGUGCCAAUAGGAGUUAGAAAAAACAAGGCCCUUGAUCCAUACAAAGUCGUCCCUUUUAUCUCUCUGACUUUCUUCACAUAUGGUAGUAGCAAAUCAUGGUAAUCUAUAAUGAAAAGUUUCUUCUUCUUUAUGGCCUGCAAUCAUAUGUAUAAUCAUCAUAAUUCAUACAUAAGCUGAUUCAAGUAGAAUUAUGGUAUUUAUUUUGAUCACCAAAACACAACAAUGUCUAGACUAUGAUCCCAUUCUUUUAAGGGGACUAAUAUACAACUAACAAUUACCUCGUCAACUGUCAUGAAUCCUCUGAUUACUUCUUCCACCGUUUUUGUGGUGAUUGCUGAUUCAGGAGGCCCGUACUCCUUAGGGUCGAGCUGACUUUUCAAUGGCCAUUCCUGCAAAUAAUUUAUGUAUACCAACAUUCAUGUUCAUGCUUCUUAUAAACCUAGGAAUGCACAAAUAAUUAACAUUUUCUACGUACAACAAUUUUAUGUUUUUAAGAUAGUACAUAAUCAAGAUGACAUACUUUAACCAAUUGUAAGCAACAAGGGUUCAGGCCAGCAAGGGUUUGACGACCAAAUUCCUCAUCCUUCAUCCACUUAAAUUUAUCUCCUGUAAAUUAGUAUACAAUAAAAAAUAUGGAAUCAGACAACGAACCAAAUAUAAAUGAACUGCAUUGUCCAUUUCAAGAGGUUAAAGGAGAGAUAGGUAACGUUUUUGAUCUUACGGUCAAGAAAUUCAGGAGUCUCAAAAAGAAUGAGAUUUUUCCCUUGAUCAGUAACAGUUUUGAGGAGACGAGGCAGAAGAUUGAUCAGAGUUGAUUUAGGAACCUCAGGCAGAUCAAUGCCCUCAUUGAAGAGAGUAUCAAUGGCGGUGAAAUAGGGAAAUCCAAGUUCCGCGUCGAUGGACACAUUCUCGAUUGAAGGUAUGACAGCAUGAAUCACCGAGUAGACCGUCUUGGCUGAGAAUGAUAAGGACUUGACCUCUGCGAAUUCUUCAUCUCUGGGCACAUAAACACUGCUCCCCCUUUUCUCGGACAACGGAUCUGUACAUAUCAUAUCAGAUCACUGGUAUACUAUACAUCUUAAUUACAAAUUCAAACAAUGACCCCCUAGCAUAGUAUUUAGCAGUAUCCAACAUUCUCCCACAUUAUAGCUUAAGUAAAUAUUCUGUACAAACAUGGAAUGUCGAUGUCAAAUAGUACUACAAAGAGAUUAAAUUUUGUAAUGGCAACAGUGCAUUUGUAAUUAAUUUUUAGUAACAGGGCAUGCCAAUCCUGUAUUUCAAUUUGUUUGGUUUUACUUGAAACCAGACCCCAAAUAUUAAUUGUCCUAAAGAUAGAAGCUACAUGGAAAUCGACUUAACACGGUCUUAUAUCAUAUAUGAUCAACAUAUAGUGAGGAGGUUGGUGUUGCUACCUUUUUUAGAGCGGGGACGGCCAGUUCUGCAACGCCUGGGAUAAGGGAAUUCCUUGCCGCCCAGAAUAGGCCUUGCGAGUUUUGCAUCUUUGUCGGGAUCACCGAGAUCAUUAUAAACAUCGUAAUCGUAAAUUCUGUCCUUGCUUUUUCUUUCUCCAGUGCCGUCUCCUCUCUUUUUCAUCAGCUCAUUUUCUCUGUACUUUUUGAGUCCCUCGGGUGUAUCCGAUGGCAGAUAGGACUGCUUGUAAAACAAUCUUCAUGUUACAAUUUUAUUGUUGCACUAGCAAUUAGCUGCUAAGUAUUUUCUAUGGGAACUAACAGUAAUGCGCACAUUGUAGACAUAUAUAGCAGCAGUCUGAGGAGCAGGUUUUAAACUCCAGUGACAGUUUAAUAUUUUGAUAAUUUGGAAUUUUGACAGCAAAUUAGUAUAAUUAUGUACUUGAAACAUCUUUCAUGAAAUAUAAAAACACUGAUAACAAUCUGGCAGAGAAACCCAAAAAUCGAAUGACAAAGAAAGUAAUGGAGUAAAGAAGAACCGUUGAUACAUCUACAUCUGCUGCAUAUAAUGGACCCCUCAACUGAACUGAAGCUAUGGGUUUGGAGGGUCAUACAUACGACAGCGCGAACAACGUCAGUCUCGUACGACGACGAAGCACGUAAUAUCAUUGGCUUAGCUAGGUUUUUGUCACCUUCCAGGUUUUCUAUGGUCCAUAAUUUAUAACUACCAUUCUGCGCUUUCAUCUUCUCCUUCCGUUUUAAUACAUGUAGCACUUUAUAUAUGCAGCACUUUAUAUAUGCAGAAAAAAUUUAAAAAUACUCCCUCCGUCCCAUUUUAACUGAUUUUGACUUUUUUAUACGUAUUUUAAAAUGUUAAAAAAAUCACUAUCAAAACAUAAUUAUUCUUUAUAAAAUUUAUAUCAAAUAAAAGUUUAGCAUCUAAACUUUUUUUUUUAUAAUAGUUUAGGAUCUAAACUUUUAUUUAAUAUAAGAAUUGAACUUUUUUAUUGAGUAGAUAUUAUUUUUAUAGACCUCUCAAAUAAUCAAACAUCGUUAAAAUGGGUCAGGAGUAUUAAAGAUCAUAUGUUAUCACAGAGAAGCUAUUAACAGUUGCAUAUAUAAUUAUAAAUGAACAAGAGAAUAGAAAAAUAUAAUACUAACCUUGUUAGUGAAGAAAAAUCUAUUAUCCGUAUUGUCACGGUGGGAAUCAACCCAGGAUUCACAGUUGACAAGGAUGCUGCCAUUAGGGAAGCCGUCGAGCUGAAUGGUCUUGAAGAACAUCUCAUUGUGAUGUUCAUUCUCUACUUUCACACCUCCGAUCUCUCCGAAAUCGUUCGGGACCUUAAAUUUACAUUCGUAUUUCACGUCGUCUGCGUCCACAUUUCCUGCCCUGUGUGCGUACCCCUUGAUCGUCUUCUUCUCUAAUCCCGUUGCUGAUCAACAACCAAUAUUAUCAUAAUCAAUUAAUUAUAGCUAGCUAGGGUUGAUUAAAAGCAAGAUUCACUUGAUAGAUGUUAAUCAUGCAAAGUAAUUAGUAUAUACUCCCCGUCACAUUUUAUUUGAAACUAUUUUCUUUUUUUGAAUGUUCCAAAAUUUAUUUGUAACACUUUUCUAAAGAUUAUUACAAACAACACAUUCAGUUUCAAACAAGCUCAACCAAAGAGUGCAUGUAUGGUUUCAUGACUAUAUUAUUUUACAAAUUUAGACUCUCUACGAUCAACCUUUUCUGUUUUUCUGUUCAUUUUCACAACUAAAAUAGCAAGAAGUGGUCCCUAAAAUGACCGUCCGGAAAAGAAAAUGGUCCCCAGAUAAUAUUAAACAAGGUUAGGCCUGAGUAAUAAAUACAGGAAUAAUUUGGAUAAUUUGUAGGCAAGUACAGAUAAGAUUUCCCUGAAUUCAUUGGUUCUGCGUUCAUGCCUUUCAUUUUCUAACUAUAUCACUGGAUUUCCGCAGCUCAUAUGGCUGAAUAUAACUUGCUGAUCAGAGUAUUAAUUUAGAUUUGAAAAAUAUAUUUUUGGAGAUAAAUUCUCUAUAAAUUAUAGUUUGUCAAGUAAGAAAGAUUUGUUGAAAGUAAUUUUUAGAUUCCGUCAUUUGUUUAUAAGAAAAUUGAUGAGAAUAAUUUCAUUUUAAAAUCUAAUUUUCUUUUGAAAGGGUGGAAUGUUCCUUGAUAUUGUAAUAUUUUUUAAUAAGAUUUCUCUGCUAAAUAAUAUAUAUCCUAAUGGGGCCAAUAAAAGGAGAAUAUCUUUGCGAAUUGGUAAUUUUCUUGUGUAUUUUGUCAUGGGAAAAUAUUUUUUACAAAUAAAAAAAGAUCAAAAAUCAUAAAAUAUUGUUAGAUAAUUCAUUUUCUGGUGAACGAAUGAACUGUAAUUUUCCAAUCCUAAAUUUGAGUGAUUUUUUUUUUCGUGGUAUUUAGUUAUAUAGUAAAAUUACUACUAUCAUAAUUUAUUUUCUUUGAAUUAAAAUUUAGUACUCAUGAAAUGCCUUUAUAAACUAUAAAAUUCAUUUAUAUGAGGAUAAUAUGUGCAUGCGGCGCAAUGCUACUUUAAUUUAAUAAUUUCCAACUGAAUCAAAGAUAUUUUAAACAAAAAAAACUUCUUAUCACGAGGCACAUCAUGUUCUAACUGAAUUAUUUUAAAUAUUGUAAAAUUUAAAUAAAAAAAGUUAACCAGGUCUAAAUUUGUAAAUCUUUUUAAAUGCUCUUUUCAAAAAAUCGGUCAUUAAUCGUGAUUAAUCACCUGUUAAUCCAUGUUACGUAAUUCAACAAACUAACUAAAUCUCUGAUCAAUUCGACUAAUCUAUUUAAUCUUUGUUUCGUGACACUGAUUAACUCCGAUUUUUGCUUUUACAACACUGAUUACAAUUAACAUAUAUAAUUAUAUUUAUACAAAAACAUUGACUAUAAUUUUUUUAAUUUCAAAUUAAUGAACAUUGAUUAUAAUUUGAUAACUUGUAGCUUAUAGUAUUUAAAUAUAUUUUACAUCUAAGAAAUAUAAAACAAUUGAAGUCCUAAUUAGGUUUCAUUCAACUUUGGAAAAUGACAUUUAAUUAAGUAGAAGUUGAGGGUAUCUCAAUACAAAAAGAUCACUUGAGCAUGCAAUCGAUACGAUAAUGAAUCUACCUACGUUUGUGGUGUGGGUAGGUAUACUGGGUACCUUUAUCUUUGCUCUCUCCACGCUCAUCAUAAUCUAUAUACUCUGUCUAUUAAUUUUCUGGGUCUCAUUAUAAUGACCUAGAAUUCUACUAAUUAUAUAAUUAUGAUAUGAGGACUCAUGUGCAUGCAGCUAAUACUUACAUGGAUCAAGAUGAGCAGCCACAAGUUCCAACUGAAUAGAUUUACCAAACAAAUCACUUAUAUCAUCCAGCGGAUUCCACCCCAAAUUUGACAAGAAUCCACUCACUGUGAAUUGCACCACCACCGUGGCCAACACUUCCGUCGUCGUUUCGGUAUAAUUAGCCACAGAUUUUAUGCUACUACUGCUUCUUGCAGCAUGACUAACACUAGUACUGAUGUUCUUGUUUUUGUUUCCACUACUGCUUGAUCUAGCCCUUUUGAUGUUCGGAAACGCAGGUUUAGCACCUAAGUUUCCGGAGAAGAAGGGCUUGUGGCAUUGCAGUAGGGUUUUUGAUGAGGACAGGUUGUGAAUCUGAGGCUUCAGCAUUGUAAGUUUAUAUGGACUGAAGUUUGUUGUUAAU